UGUUACAGGGUAUGACGUGGGAACUAUUAUUACCUAUGAUUUAUAGACAGGCAAAAAUAAAUAAGAGAAAGAGAGAAAGAAAGGCUGAGAGCUUUAGAGGAAUGAUAGAUUUGGAAGACUAGAGACUACACUGGCGAAAGAGAGCACUAUAUCGCUUACCUGGAAAAUUUAUAGAAAAAGAAAACCCAGAUCAUUGAAUUUCUGCUGUGUUAGAAUGGCUUCUUAAAAGCAAAACUAACAGUGAACUUCAUAUAUCACAAUAUGCUCUGACAAACUUAUUGAAGAGACAAGAAAAGGCAGUGAAGGCCUGGGGGUGAGAAGAGUGUGAUACAGAAGAGUGCUGCCAACUUUCCCAAAAUUGUACAAUAUUUUAUGGGCCAGGACAAAACCACUCAAUAUGAUUCUGUCACAUAAAAUUUAAAGUAAUUUUAGUUCCCUUAUAUCAAAGUAAUAACUGUUCAAAAGUCCACCCAAGGAAUGGUUUUGACUGAGGGUUGAUAAACUAUGCCCUGUGGGCCAAAUCUGAUCUAUCACAUGUUUUUUUUUUUUUUUUAAAACACAUGUUUUUGUAGACAAAGUUUUAUUGUAAGACAGAUACGCAUAUUCACUUACAUAUUGUCUGUGACUGCUUUCACGCUCCAAAAGCAAAGUUGAAUAGUUGCAACAGGGACUGCAUGGCUUGCAAAGCUGAAAAUAUAUUUACUACCUGGCCCUUUGUAGAAGUAGCAUAGAUAAACUUUGGUACUAUGGAUUAGAGUAAAAUGAUAAUUUGGG